rnacentral:rRNA from 1 species
UAGGGAAUCUUCGGCAAUGGACGGAAGUCCGACCGAGCAACGCCGCGUGAGUGAAGAAGGUUUUCGGAUCGUAAAGCUCUGUUGUAAGAGAAGAACGAGUGUGAGAGUGGAAAGUUCACACUGUGACGGUAUCUUACCAGAAAGGGACGGCUAACUACGUGCCGGCAGCCGCGGUAAUACGUAGGUCCCGAGCGUUGUCCGGAUUUAUUGGGCGUAAAGCGAGCGCAGGCGGUUAGAUAAGUCUGAAGUUAAAGGCUGUGGCUUAACCAUAGUAGGCUUUGGAAACUGUUUAACUUGAGUGCAAGAGGGGAGAGUGGAAUUCCAUGUGUAGCGGUGAAAUGCGUAGAUAUAUGGAGGAACACCGGUGGCGAAAGCGGCUCUCUGGCUUGUAACUGACGCUGAGGCUCGAAAGCGUGGGGAGCAAACAGGAUUAGAUACCCUGGUAGUCCACGCUGUAAACGAUGAGUGCUAGGUGUUAGACCCUUUCCGGGGUUUAGUGCCGUAGCUAACGCAUUAAGCACUCCGCCUGGGGAGUACGACCGCAAGGUUG